AACGCGAAGAACCUUACCUAAGCUUGACAUCCUUUUGACCGAUGCCUAAUCGCAUCUUUCCCUUCGGGGACAGAAGUGACAGGUGGUGCAUGGUUGUCGUCAGCUCGUGUCGUGAGAUGUUGGGUUAAGUCCCGCAACGAGCGCAACCCUUGCCUUUAGUUGCCAGCAUUAAGUUGGGCACUCUAGAGGGACUGCCAGGGAUAACCUGGAGGAAGGUGGGGAUGACGUCAAAUCAUCAUGCCCCUUAUGCUUAGGGCUACACACGUGCUACAAUGGGUGGUACAGAGGGCAGCCAAGUCGUGAGGCGGAGCUAACCCCUUAAAGCCAUUCUCAGUUCGGAUUGUAGGCUGAAACUCGCCUACAUGAAGCUGGAGUUACUAGUAAUCGCAGAUCAGAAUGCUGCGGUGAAUGCGUUCCCGGGUCUUGUACACACCG
rnacentral:rRNA from 1 species